GAAUGCAUUCGGCAGUACCACAAAAUUAUUCUAACAAUAUUUCAAAACGAUCAUGCCAAUAGCGAAGGAGUAUCGGUUGCACCUCUACAAAGAUAACUUGAGAUUGAACUACACAAAAGCUCAUAAGACAUUGUCUAGUUUAGGUGAUACGAUUCACAAAAGCCCAAAUUCUUGAAGGCGAGGCCCAGUAAACAAAUUCCCAGCCCAAUCAAGAAAUCCAUCCAUACUUAGUUGAAAAUCAGGCCAAAUUGUCAAAGUGGCCCAAGUUGUAAAGUUUUAUUUUUAUUUUUAUUUAUUUAUUUAUUUAUUUACUUAGUUUAAAUUUUUAUGUCAAUAUUCAGUCCAAGAGUCCCAGAUAAAAUGACCUUUGACCGAAUUUCCAUAUUAAAAUAAUUAGAAGUUUUUUUAAUUUUAGUUUUCUAAUUAGAUUAGGACUAGUUAUAAGGCCUAUUUAAAGGCAUGGCUGUCCACCUUGUUAAACACUUAUCAUUAUUAUUAAAAUUUCAGAUUUGUUGAGAGUAGAAUUUUCUUUGAGUUUUCUCCAAGAUUUCUCUCUUGAGUUUUCUUUAGAAGUUGUUUUAACAAUCUUGUGAUUGUGGGAGCCAUCUUCAACCUUCUUCUUGCCAUUGAUAUUCUUUGGAGGGGAGAUUAGAGCCGUUUGAAGGGAGUUGUGAGAUCUUUCGAGAUUUCAAGGCUUCUUAGGACUUAUCUUUUAAUUUCUUAUUGUCAAUUCUUUCUUUAUUUCUGCUUGUGCUGAAUCUUUAUCUAAUUUAUUUUCUGUCCUUAUUGUGUUUUCAGCCUUUUUCUAUCUUAAGGAAUUAGCCCAAAAAUCCCCAAUUUCUAGGGUUCUUGCCGAUUCAUCCAUACUCUUUUUGGGAGAAAUUAGAUUGCCGAAAUUUGGGGAAAACUAUCUGGGUGUUCAAUUGGGCAGAAUCGCAAUCUCUUCUAGGGUUUCAAGAUUCCUUAUUAACACUUAUUUCUAUUCUCAAUUUGAUUCUUUGCUGAUUUGGAGAUUUUAUUUCAAAUCUGAAAAUUCAAAAAUCUAAUCUUUUAAUUUUCUGUUUCGUUUCAGAUCUAAUUGUUUAGGGUUUUCAUAGGAGUUUCCCGUGACUUGGCAACUCGAUCUUGGUCCACGCGCAACCCCGUAUCAUUUGGUAUCAGAUUUUGGGCGUUUUGGGUGUUCUUGGUUGAUUUCUAAACUGAUCUCUAUUUUUUUUAAAGCACAAACAGCAGUUUUACCCAGAAAAAUUGUUCAAAAAAAAUUCAUUUGAGUGGGUAAACGUUGUCCGAUUGAUCUGAAAUUUUACAUACAUGUUUUUGGCACUGUGAUUGAAUAUAAAAAAAGUAUUCCCGCAAAAAAAUCAGUCAAAAAAGUCAAAAUAAUAAAAAAAGACGAAAUUCAAUAAAAAUUUAAAAAAAAAGAUUCAGCGGGUUGAAUUUGGUGCCCAAAAUUUCCAGAUCAAAAAUUCAAUAUGUAAGGACACUCCAGAUUUAAUUUCGUGAUUUUUGGAGAUCGGGAACACCUCGAACGAAGUUGUCAAGUUACUCCGCAGUUUUUCGGGUUUUCUGUUUUCAGCAAUUUUUAUUGAUUCUUAGCUGUAGGUUUUCAUUUGUUUACCUUUAUUCUUCCUUUACGUUAUCUAACACCUUCUUGGUUCUUGUGUUAGUAGGAUUUAAACGUGUGCACUUCUUCCUCGGUGCAACACGAAUCAAUUGGUGUCUCGUCAGUUUUUGGCAUCCUAGUGCAAAUUAGGAUUCUUUGGUAGUUUGGUUCACACUCUCUAAUUGGUUGAUAUAAACUCUGAUAAAGAACUCACAAGAUUGAAUUCGACCUCAUUGAGAAUUUGAUUUUUUCUUUUUGAGUGAUUAACGGUGAGGUUUGAUAACUUUUAUUUUUGAGUGUUGAGUGUUUUGCAGGUUUUAAAAAAAAUGUCUACAGGUGAUAAUAAUAGUGACAUAUUUAAAAAAUUUCAACAACAGUUGGAUGAACAGGCUGCUGCUCUUCGAGCUUUGACUGCUACCAUCAAUGAGGUGCAAUUGAAUCAAGAACCUCAAUAUCGAGAUCCAAUCAAAGAAGAUAGGGAUAACCAACCCCAGAGGCGCGGCCCUCGACGUGUCCUUAGAAUGGAUGAUGAUUUUCAUGAUCGUGGACAAUCCUCUUUGGCAAAACCAAAGAGCGAGCAGCAACGAGAACAUCUCUUUCAUACUCGCUGCCAUGUACAAGGUAAGCUUUAUAGAGUUAUUAUUGAUGGUGAAAGUUGCUCGAACAUAGCCAGCACGACGAUGGUGGAAAAGCUUUGCUUAACCACUACCAAGCAUCCACAACCUUAUCCACUACAAGGGCUUAGCAACGAAGGCCAAUUUAGGGUCACUCAACAAGUGCGCAUUGCCUUUUCUAUCGGUAAGUAUCAAGACGAAGUUGUGUGCGACGUAAUGCCUAUUCAAGCCUGCCAUUUGUUGCUAGGAGAACCAUGGCAACUGGAUCGAAAAGUCACUCACGAUGGUCGUACCAAUAGGUAUUCUUUCAAGCAUCAAGGAAAGAAACUCACCUUAGUGCCGCUCACUCCGGAACAAGUCCAUGAGGACCAAAUCAAACUGAGAAAUUCUGUUAAAACAAGUGAGGAAAAAGAAAAAGAGAAUGAAAAAGAGCAAAAAGAGAUUGAGAGUGAAAAGGAAUGUGAAACAGAAAAGAAAAUUGAAAAAGAAGUUGAAGAAAGAAGAGAAAAUGAAUUAGAAAAAGAAACAAAAGAAAAAGACGUGGAAAGGGUAGUGAGGAAUGUUUCCACUAACCAAGAUAUGAAUUUUUCUUGUAUUGCUACUUUUCAGGUUCCUGAAAGAUCAAAAGAUAACUUUCAACUUCAAUACCUCUCAAAUGAAAGACGCUUUCAUACGAUCAACUUAGGCAAAGAUGAAAUCACACUACAUGAUCCCGAAGGUAAGCGAGGUAAGGAAAUUUUAGAAACCGAGUCCAGUGCAGAUUUGAAAAUUAUUGAUAAAACUUUUGGUGACUUAGUUCUUAAAAGAUCCCCUCAUUUUGAUCCGAUUAAUUGUUACUCUUCGAUUGUGGUUGAUAAAGUCAUUACGAAAAGAAGCGUGAUUUGUUAUUCUCUUAAUUUACCUUGUGUAAAAUCUUCGAAUUUGUCCAAAUCUGUUUUGGAGAAUAAGGUAACGAAAUUUUCCAAAUUUGUUUUCAAUUUAUAUUCGUGCCUUAAACAGUUUAUGUGGUUGUACAUGAAGUUUGAGUUCCAUUUGACAAAGGUUAACUCAACAACGGAGAUUCGACUACACUAUGCCCCCGAUGAGCGAAGGUUUGUUUUAAAUGAAAAAGGUAAAAUCGACCCUUAUUCUUCUGCUUAUCGAGGUAAGAUGCUUGAAACCUUUGAAACACUUUUGUACUCCUCGGAUAGUGAUAAAGAUCGUGUUGAUGAACACUUAGAUCGAAACGUGCUUGACUGUCCUAUUUUAUUUAUUGAUGAUCUAUCUGUUUUGAUGGUUGAUAAAAAGAUUCUUGUUUUUGAUAAUGCAUGUGUGAGUGAAUCUAUAGACCGUCGAUUAAUGCAUGGUAUGAUUAUGCAACUCUGUGAACCAUGUGAAUCUUUUCAAAUACCUACUUGUGACGAUUAUGUUUACCAUUUGAUUUAUUACUCGCAAUUUAUUCAUGGUUUGUGGGAACAAUGUGAGACGACUGAAUGCCUUAAAACAUGUCCAUCUUUGUUUCAAAUAUUUGACGAGGCAGUGGUGAGUAAAUUAGAUUGUUUGCAUGGUAAUCUGAAUCUGUCCAUUCACAUGCGUUAUACCUGUUCUGUUAUGCUUAUGAUUGGACUACAAGCUUGUUUCCGUUGCUAUUUACUAUCUCAUGGCUAUUCUUUUCAGUGGACUCAAUUGCCAUUAGUCCCGUUCGAUAGAGGAAAGUCGAGUUCAUUUGAUUUUUCAGAUUCGAGGACGAAUCUUUUUGAGGAAGGGGGGAAUGAUACGAUUCACAAAAGCCCAAAUUCUUGAAGGCGAGGCCCAGUAAGCAAAUUCCCAGCCCAAUCAAGAAAUCCAUCCAUACUUAGUUGAAAAUCAGGCCAAAUUGUCAAAGUGGCCCAAGUUGUAAAGUUUUAUUUUUAUUUUUAUUUAUUUAUUUAUUUAUUUACUUAGUUUAAAUUUUUAUGUCAAUAUUCAGUCCAAGAGUCCCAGAUAAAAUGACCUUUGACCGAAUUUCCAUAUUAAAAUAAUUAGAAGUUUUUUUAAUUUUAGUUUUCUAAUUAGAUUAGGACUAGUUAUAAGGCCUAUUUAAAGGCAUGGCUGUCCACCUUGUUAAACACUUAUCAUUAUUAUUAAAAUUUCAGAUUUGUUGAGAGUAGAAUUUUCUUUGAGUUUUCUCCAAGAUUUCUCUCUUGAGUUUUCUUUAGAAGUUGUUUUAACAAUCUUGUGAUUGUGGGAGCCAUCUUCAACCUUCUUCUUGCCAUUGAUAUUCUUUGGAGGGGAGAUUAGAGCCGUUUGAAGGGAGUUGUGAGAUCUUUCGAGAUUUCAAGGCUUCUUAGGACUUAUCUUUUAAUUUCUUAUUGUCAAUUCUUUCUUUAUUUCUGCUUGUGCUGAAUCUUUAUCUAAUUUAUUUUCUGUCCUUAUUGUGUUUUCAGCCUUUUUCUAUCUUAAGGAAUUAGCCCAAAAAUCCCCAAUUUCUAGGGUUCUUGCCGAUUCAUCCAUACUCUUUUUGGGAGAAAUUAGAUUGCCGAAAUUUGGGGAAAACUAUCUGGGUGUUCAAUUGGGCAGAAUCGCAAUCUCUUCUAGGGUUUCAAGAUUCCUUAUUAACACUUAUUUCUAUUCUCAAUUUGAUUCUUUGCUGAUUUGGAGAUUUUAUUUCAAAUCUGAAAAUUCAAAAAUCUAAUCUUUUAAUUUUCUGUUUCGUUUCAGAUCUAAUUGUUUAGGGUUUUCAUAGGAGUUUCCCGUGACUUGGCAACUCGAUCUUGGUCCGCGCGCAACCCCGUAUCAUUAGGGGUUUAUGUUUCCUCUCUUAUUUUUGUAUUUAAGCAGUACUUUGUUAUUGGUGAAGGGGUUGGGGAGGUUUGACAUGACUGUAAACUCGAAGACAACUUAAAGCCUAUUAACGAGUAUAUUGCUGUUUCAGUUCACCAUUAGAGUAAACUUGCAAUAAAAUUUUGAGGAAUAACUGAGCGGUCAGAUAUAGCAUGUAUUUAAAAGACUAUAAUCAUAAGAUGUUGUGUAAGCAAUUGAAUGGAAAAGCAAC
rnacentral:lncRNA from 1 species